GAAAGGUACAAAAUAAUCUUGCUAAUUAAAAGAGCAGGUUUUUGCCUGUGAAACACUCCGUCCCUUUUUGUCGUGAAAAGAUUUUUUAAGGGGCACGGUCUCUAAAGAAAUUCAACUUUUGCAGAUGUGCUUCGAUGUAGAUUACUCCUGUGGAAAAAGAGUUGCGCAUAGUUGGGGAAACUUAGUUCCAGUAACAAAAAAAAAAAAUCAUUCGCCUAUUUGUGUGUGUAUUUUAAUAAGACAAAGAUCUGCAGCAGCGCCCAGAAGGAGAAAUCACAUUUCCGCCCUCUCAUGUGCUAGCGUGUCUAUCUCUGCAAUAUCUUAUAAAUGAUACAUACAGAUGCAUGUGCCUGUGUCACAGAGUCAUUUUGUCCCUGAAAGCCUAAUAUAAUCAAAUUCAGUGUUUUAAGAUGGUGUGGUUGCAGAUUUGAUUCCCUUCCACUAAAGUGGAAAUACUUUCGGUAAUUGAAAGCAGAUUCACGUCUGGCGCGGUGCAAGCCAAGGUUUUUCAUUUUUAAAAUAAACCUUUUGUUCUCUGCUUUUAAAAGAGCCAUCCAGAGACCUCUGUGUGCUAAUUAUUAAAGUAGUUCUUCGGAAGGGAUUGAAAAUAUCCAGAGAAGGCAUUUUAGAAAUACAGCAUAACUUAGUAAGCUUCCCUCCGAGUAGGGUAUUGCUGUGCAGCUUUCAAGCUGGCCCACGUUUUUCUAUCAGGUUUUCAGGCAUUCAAGUGCAACUGUAGUGUUUAAAACACACAACCCCCAAGCAGGGGCCAUGUGUUUACAGUUUAAAAACUUGACAGAUUUUUGUGUUCUCCCCACCCCCUCCUUUUUUAAUCCUGUGAUUUUCACAACCUAAUGAUGAUUUUAGAUACAUCGGGAAAGUCUCCUUAAUUUAAAGAGAUGUUGAUUGCAUGCUAGCUGAUAGACUGAAAUUUUAAAAAGAAAAAAAAAUGAUUGCAAGUUGUUAGUCUGGUUCCUGUCUCAUCGCUAGGGAAUAGGUGUUAAAAGCUUUUUCUUUCUUUCUUUUUUUUUUUAAUAUGACUGUUAAGGACUGAAGUUAGGACACAUUCUAAACAAAGAGUCACUUGAUAUCCUGGCUGGGAAGAUAGAGGGAGAUGGAGAUGUCUAAGCAUCUCACCUUCUGCAGGGCAUGGACUCGAAAAUGAAUUAUGGAAUCAUGAGGGAGAGAGUUCAAAGAGUUACACUUUAAACAAAGAUAAUUGCGUUCAGAAAAACACAGGUAUAUCCUGAAUAUUUAAUUACUAGCUUUUUAACCCAUUACACUGAUUAUUAAUAAAACAUGACCAGUAUAAUAUGCGGUUUGAUUUCUUAGAAUCCACUUGGUAGCUGUUACGUUUUAACCUUUUUUCUCAUCUUCUGGAAAGGAGUCUUUUGCACACAUUUUAAUAAAUUUGAAGUGAAUAUCUCAUCUAAUUUCAAAGGUCCUUGGUUAAGUAUUUCUCAUGCAAAGUUCUCUUAUAAAAAAAAAUUAUUUUAAAAAAUAUUUAGAAAAGUUGUACCCUCCCCCCCCAAAUUGGGGAGUGGGGGUUAAGUUUUGGCAGUGUUACAUCACAUUUCUUAGAUACCAGUGGCCUAGUGUAUGGCAUAAUAGAAUUUAGUUUUUCUCAAAGAUUUAAGGAAAGAAAGGGGAUUUUAACACGGACUCUAUUGUAGAUUUCUGAGCAUUGAUUUCAGUGUAAAGUCUUUGACCAUUUAACCUAACUUUAUUUAUUUGUUUGUUUGUUUAUUUUGGCUUUCUUUUUUAUUUUUAUGUCCUUACACAUCUUCUUAUUUGGUGUGUCAUGCUUUCAAUUUAUCAUGGGACAUCUGUCUUUCAUAAUGUAGACAAGUGGCAGAGGGAGGCACUGUCUGUAUACAGUGAUCUUGAUAAUUAAUGCCAUAAAAUAGAUUAAAAUGCUGUAUUCCAGGUAUUCAUUUCCUUAAAAGGGGCCACCAGAACAGCGUUGCUAAGCACCCGCCACCACUGCAAGCAACAGAAAAUGACCCAAAUUAAAGAACCUGUUCUAAGCUGUAUUCUUGCAUUUUCUAAAGUGUGUUUCAAAAGGUUUAACAAGACUCAUUCAAUUAGCUCAGAGAAGGGAUCUUUUUUCAGCUCUGGUCAGCAAUUAAGAGAUUGAGCAUUGGAGCACCAGCUCUUCAUGUUUGUCAUUUAUUUUGUUUCCUGGGCUUUAACUAAACAAUUGUUAAUAAAGUUUAUU
rnacentral:lncRNA from 1 species